ACCUGUUUUUGACCUCAAAAUAAAGCACUUUGCGGCUGUACAUGGCUGUGGGGAUGAGCAGUUUUGUGGUGCUUGGAAUUCUUUAUAUAAUUAAUUUAAAAAAAAAUAUUGCCACAUUGAUGCCUCAAGGUGGUGUAAUUGUUCAAAUAACACAUUGUUUCAUUUUAAAAUAUAUAUAUAUUUUUUAAAUGUAACCAAGUGUUUUUCAAGUGUAAUAUUUCUGUAAAGGCUAGGGACAGAAAAAUUGACAUUUCCAUAGAAUGACCCCUAUAUAUUUUAUAUACAGCUCCCCUUUGAAGCUCUUGUGCUUUUCUCCUUUUCCAUCUCUACAAUCCUAUUCUGCUCACAGGUGAUUGGAGACGAGUUUUGUUCCCACUUUUGUUGCAGUUUGCUAAUUUUUGUAAAAUAGCUUCUGUUUUUGCUUUUCAGAUAAGAGAGUGGUUUCAGUUUAAUAUGUUGCAGGCUCAUAUAUUGGUAAUAAAUAAUUGACAAUAAAUAAUAUUGAUGAUAAUAAAUCAUCAAAAAAAUAUUGGGCUUGUUUUGGAAGCUGCGGUUGCUUAUUUGUCUCGCGAGAGUUGGCAACUGUGGCUGUGCGUUACACAAAGCAGCGCUGAGCUUACAAACGCUGCUUUAUCAGGCAUAUAACAUGCAAGAUGAAAUGAAAAUGACAUCGAACAUUUUCUAAAGACCGUGUUCCUUCAGAAAUACAGUGAUAUAAAAACACCUGCGCCUCGUUUUGAUUUUUAAACGUGCAUUACGUGCUCAUGUUUAUUCAACGAAGCCUUUUGGAAAAUCGGUCAGUUUUGAUAUCGCGGCGGUCGCCACAAAUAAAUAAAUAUAUGUAUGUGAAACACAUCCCACAUCACAACCUGAACCCAACUUCAUUACUCAUCACUUUAACUUUAACUGUGUUUGUAGCCGGCGCCACUAACAAAAGCGGAACACAGACCGGAAGUUAACUUCGGUCCAGGCGCGUGCGCCCAUUGAAACCGUCUCUAGUACUUUCCUUUCAGGAAACCAAAGCUAAGUUAAAGCUUCUGGUUGCAAAGCAGUUGGAGAGUUUUUCUUUUUUUCUUUUGACUGCAUCAAUAAUACUUUAGUACGAAUUUGGCUAUAUUCCCCAACAUCGGCUCUCACUGUCUUUUCACAAGCAAGUGAUUUCGUAGAGGAAUCUUAAAAUCGAAAAUAAAUAAAUAAAUGAAGGGGUUACCUACAGCAUUCAUCGGAUCUUUCUCUUCCAACUUACACUUCAUGUGCGUGCGCAUCCAUGUUGCUUAGUAACGAACCCGCUUGCGGCAGAGUCGCUUAAUUUAAACGGAAACAACAACAUCCUAAUUUCUGAUUGGCUGGUAGUAGGUGGCAUUUAACUCUAUAACUCGAGAGUCGAGAGAGCUAUGAACUUACCUCCGUAUUCCCUCAUCUAUUAAUUGUAUAGUAGCCUAAUUGAAGCGGGACAAGUUAUCCCUUCUCAAGGUGUAGCUUGAGAGCGUGUGAACUGGUUGAAAAUGCGUGACACUUGAGAGCCCUGCACACACAGCGUAGCGGUUGCUGAAUGACAAAAGCUGACUCCGGUUCCACCGCACGUGCUUUUAUGCUUCCUGGCCAUUACGUCACCCGUCCGUGACGUCUUGCCCAUCCAUUGGACAGAUUACACUUAUAUCAGAGCCGGUCACACUGAAGGCGUUCCCCUAGCGUUCGCGGACGCAGCUCGAGUACCUGAAGAGGAACUGAAACGUUUGGAAACAUGAAGACAUUGAACAUGCGAUUGCGACAAUAUAUGGUUUAUUUGUGUUUCAAGUCAUCUCCAGACAAAGGUUCGCAGAAGAAGACAACUGUUUAAUUCAACGCAUUCUCAGCGCAUCUGUCAAAGAGACCACUGUUUCUACACUGCUGUCAUCUUCUCCUGGUACCAUGCAGAUCCUCAGUCAGAUGAAGUACAUAUACGCCACCUCUGCCUCUGCUGGCCUCACCUGAGACCCGUACUGGACCUGUGAAGACUGGUGGCAGGGUGUUUGUACUGGACCACAAACACAGCCCACUGACAACUUGCUUAAUAAACACCAUGGGAAGAAGGAAAUCCUCAGGAGUACGCAGCAAUGCUCCACAAUUCCUCUACUGAUCCAAACAGCAUGCUCCAUUCGACCACAAAACUGCACAUUUCACAGUAUGUCAAGCACCUGGCCAAACUGCUGAACGCCAGUUCUUCAUUAAACAACUCCAGAGAAAUGUCUUGAAAGCGGGUAGUGAAACAGCCAGUGUGCCAGUGGUAACAAUGAAGCCUGCGGAUGCAAACCCACCAGCACCUGCUCGGACCACACUCCUAACUCAUGAGACCAUUGAGACAAUUGUGUUACGGAGCGGCAGCAGCAACCUGAGCAGGAGAAGACUUGUCUUGCUUGUGAACAGCCAAAGAUGGUUCCUCUAUCCACUUUUCGUAAUCAGCAAGGCCCUGUCAGGUACUUCUACUGUUCCACAAAGGUUUUUAAUGCUUACAGUGAUUAAGAACUAACACACCCCAGAGUUAUUUAAGAGUGAACUUGAGGACACAAAGAAACGGGUGGAGGAGAAAGGACAGCAAAAACACAAAAGGCCUGAAACUGAACACGUUAGUCACUUGUGCAGAUUUUGUAAAAUGGAGCUGAAGCAGGGUCCAAACAGUCCUCACAUACACACAGGCUUUCCUGGCGUAGCAGGGAAAUAUGUUCAUUGCCCUGCUAAAGUCUUUUCCAUUUACCAACCUCAGGACAUGCAGAAAGAUGACCCGGAAAGAGUUUAAUGAGUCGGAGAUGGGUGGCAGAAAAAAAAGAAAGAAAUGACAUUUCUUGAUCUUUUGCCCCUUAAUAAUAUUUAACUCAUGUAUAUACUGUAUAUUUUGAUUUGUUUAUUGUUCAGUGUGAGACUGUAAUAUGUAU